rnacentral:rRNA from 1 species
UCCGUCGCCCCACCGAGGUAUCACGAGGCCCCCUCCGGGGCUCCACCGCCUCCUCCUCCAUCACGAGAUGCGGGACGGACGGUCGCAGGCGAAGCCCGCCCACCGUUCCACUCCUCCGGAGUGGCCGGGAGGUAAGGGAGUCGUCGUUGGCGAUCGCGGGCCCGUCGGAGGUCGGCGGCUGGCGGCGAGUAGGUCGGUCACCCACCCGACCCGUCUUGAAACACGGACCAAGGAGUCUAACAUGUGCGCGAGUCAAUGGGUCUUGAACAGGCCCAGGGGCGCAAUGAAAGCAAAGGCCGGCAUCCAGUCGGCCGAGUUGGGAUCCCCCGCCCGGCGGCGGGGGCGCACCAACGACCCGUCCUAUCCGGCUCGCCGGUUGGGCGGAGUGCGAGCGUACACGUUGGGACCCGAAAGAUGGUGAACUAUGCCCGGACAGGACGAGGUC